CCAGCAGCCGCGGUAAUACGUAGGGUGCAAGCGUUAAUCGGAAUUACUGGGCGUAAAGCGUACGCAGGCGGCCUAACAAGUCUGGUGUGAAAUCUCCCGGCUCAACCGGGAAGGGUCAUCUGAUACUGGGGGACUAGAGACGGGUAGAGGAAAGCGGAAUUCCCGGUGUAGCGGCGAAAUGCGUAGAUAUAUGGAGGAACACCGAUGGCGAAGGCAGCCUCCUGGGCCAUCACUGACGCUCAUGCACGAAAGCGUGGGGAGCAAACAGGAUUAGAUACCCUGGUA
rnacentral:rRNA from 1 species